UUUUAAAGUACAUGUAAUCUAAGUGAUCAUAAACGUUAACACAAUUCCAAUAGUUGUUACAUCUUUUGCAUAUUUUAUUUCAGUUUUCGUGAAUGUAUAAUUAUGCAUCAUGAUGGAUUUCAACAUAGCAUACAACAUCGUUUGUCCAACGAAAAGGAGUCUGUACUAUGGGGAUGCCCUUAAUACAGCAUUAAAUCGAACAUAGCAUACAAGUAUUUGUCCGACGAAAAGGAGCCUGCACUAUGGAUACAUUGCCAGAAUUAGGUUGCAUUUUCCAAAGUGUGCAAUGUUUUGUUCAAUACAUUCGGACUUGCAGGAGGAAAAAAAGUAUCAAUACAAAUUGUUGUGGUGUUAUUGAGCUUUACUAAGCGCUUGUUGCAGCAAUGUGAUCAACGAUUUAGCUGCUGCUUAUUUCUAUUAUGCAUUUAUUUGGUUUUCUAAAAAAACAGUAUUAUGUCGAAGAAUAUGAACGCAUUCUCGUUAUGGUGUCAAAUUAACA